GAAUGUGGGAGUAAUCUGGCUUGGUGAGGCAGGGUGUCUCCUUCCUUUCACUGCUCCAAGUGUGUCCCUCCUGAAGCUGUGUGCUGGUGGAAGAGGACAACCUUCCCAGAAUAGAGAGAGACAGACUGGCCUUUGGUCAAGGGUGAAUAUAAGUAGCUGCGCUUCCCUGCUAGAAUCCCCAAACAAGCACCCAAAAAUAUACCAUUGUUUUCUUAGGUUUCUAUUUGGUGGGUGAAUCCUCCCUUGAAGUGGGAAGUAUAUAAUUAUGGCCUCAAAUCUAUACUGUGUUGGGGAAUCACA
rnacentral:snRNA from 1 species